UACGGAGGAUCCAAGCGUUAUCCGGAUUUAUUGGGCGUAAAGGGAACGCAGGCGGUCUUUUAAGUCUGAUGUGAAAGCCUUCGGCUUAACCGGAGUAGUGCAUUGGAAACUGGGAGACUUGAGUGCAGAAGAGGAGAGUGGAACUCCAUGUGUAGCGGUGAAAUGCGUAGAUAUAUGGAGGAACACCGGUGGCGAAAGCGGCUCUCUGGCCUGUAACUGACACUGAGGCUCGAAAGCGUGGGGAGCAAACAGG
rnacentral:rRNA from 1 species